AGAGCGAGAUGAGUGAGAAAAAAUCUGAUCUUUCGAAUUUAAUGAGCAGCUUUUACAGGCACACGUGAUUUUGUCAAACAAAAGAAAUUACGAUAAAUUCUUUUACAAUUUGACGCUUAAAAUUUAACUUGAAAACUUGAAAAACAUCUCUAACUUGAUUGCAAACAAAACAAAAACUGCUGACAGUUUUGGUGGGAUUUGAGGAAGAACUUUUUAUAGUAACAGAAAAGCAGUGGUCCAUAAAUGGAGCCCUGUGGUACACCUAAUUUGCAGUCACUGUCAACUUUAAAUCAUCGUACUCAGGACUAAAGGACUAAACAGAUGCAUAGCUUGUGAGAAAUUUAACUUUUAAUUUAAUUUUAUAGAAUCUAUCUAAAUCCUCCAGUAAUUCCCUGGUUUUGAAUGUAAUAACUGCGUGCGCGCGUUAAUCCGUCUUUACGUUUUCCAGGAGUGAGCGACUGAAGUGUGGUCUCACCAUUCACACGUUCAGUCGGCGUCUUGUCUGGCCCGUGAGAAAAAAGGAGGAACUUUGCAUCUGUGUUGAAACAAAAGCCCCAUCAACAGCCAGACUUGCAUCUUUUUUUUCUCCCCCUCUCUCUCUUUUUUUUCAGUAUGCACCAAACAAACAAUUAGCUUUGUUGCAGUGUAAUUGACUGGCAGGACCGGCUGGCAUUUACAUUCGCCCGCUGUUGCCACCCUGCCAUUCGGCGGGCCUGGAUGAAAGGGAAUAAGGUCCGUAUGAGGGUGCGAGGUUGGCCACGUCUCUCUUACUUUCAAGCUUUUUUUUCCCUCCCCUGGUGGCAAACUUCCAAGCAGGAGCAUUUCUUUUUUUUUCUUUUUUUUUAAAGGGAGAAGGGAAGGGCGGGCGGAGUGAGGACGAGACUAUGGAUUUAAUUAUGCAUGCGUGUUUUCCCAUUCAUUGUAGCGGUGGGAUGGAGCGAUGGCGAGGGGUGUAACGCGGGGUGGUUGAAGGGGUGCAGGGGGGGGCAGACCAAUGACAUUCCGUCGUUGUAGUCCUCCUCCUACACACAAACACACACAUACAGGCAGCAGUCUGGGAGCGAGCCGCUAUAGGCUAAUGAGGUGACACUCACCGUCUGGAGACCAGCCAAAACAGUCCAUUAACUCCUAGCCAGUAGUUAAGAGGAGAAGAAGGAGAAAGGUGGAGGAGGGGAGGGGACAAGAGGAGGCAGAUGAGGGAGUGGGCAAAUGGGUGAGGUAGGUGGGUAGAUGAUGGUGGGAGGAGUUUAUGGGGGGGGGGUCUGGAGUCUCAGGAUGUGAGAGUGGGGGGUAUCCCUGCAGUUUUGUAGUUGUGAAUGAAUCAGUGGGGUGGCUGAAAGCAGGGAGGGGGCUUUGCACGAGCGUUCACUGCUGGCGAUUAUGCUCUGAGGAGAUUUGUGUGUGGGUAGCAACGAAUGAGAGAGGACGGCGGAGAGAGAUCCAAACCCACCCCCUUGUCCCGUCCCGUACCCCCCCCCCCCAGUCAGCUAGACAGACCUUUGACAGAGGAGCUCUGUGAUUCGCCUCUUUCAUCUUCAGAGAAACCCCCCUGUCCAGUCGGAUAAUUAUGAGACAAAUGCACCGGACCCCUGCUGCUUGAGUGGCAAUGGGCAUUGGAGGCCAGAAACACAGAGAGAGGGUUCAAACCUGCACGUCUCGACUGGUCCGGAGGGAGGGGGACAGAAGGAAUGAGGGAUGGCGAGAAGAGAGGGGGGGAUAUUUGGGGUCUGGGAAUUUCCCCGCUCUCCCAGGAGAGACAAGUUGGUCCGUAGAUCAUAGAUCAGGGGCAAACCGGUGGCGAUGCUAACAAGGACAACAGGACUUUCACUGAAUACUUUACGCAGCCUCUUUGGAUACACAAUGCAUGAAAUAAAUAUGGUUUCCAAACACCCAGUUCCAUGAAAAAGUAUUAAACCAUACAGACUUUGUAUUCAAGUACACAGACUUUCUUGGACCCUUUCUGGUAUUUUAAAACUCUGGGAAUUGCCCUAUUUUGGCUAAAAUACAAUUUUAGGUCUAUUAAGCUGGUUUUUAUUACAUAUUACCACAAAUAAACUGGAGCAAAUUGUGGAUUUGUGAGUGGAAUCAGUAACAUAGAGCCUAAAAAUCCAGUUUAAAAGCCUGUUGCUUAGCUGCCUGGUACAUGUAGAAACAUCACUGAUUCAUCCCUUUGGUUUAGGAAACGUUUUGAGCAUAAAUUGACAGCUAAGUCAAACUUUAGAGGCAUUUUGCCUCCUUACAACAAAAAACAAGACAGUGAAAAAGAAGCCAAAGUCGAGAGAAGACCUUUAGAAACCUUGAUAUCUAAACCGCUUUAAAAGACAAAAAGAGAUUCAAGACCUUUCACGGCAAAAUAUCUAAAUCUUGGGGAUGCCUCAAGAUUGUUGCACCGCAAUGACUCUUUAAUUCGGAAAACAACAUAUUAGUAAGUGUUUAAGUUGGAACAAACUCAGCCCAGAAGGUGUUCAGUGUUUAAUUGUGCUUUGGUUGGCACUGAUAAGAAGGAAUGGUUAGCCAAGGCUGCUUUAUCUACAACUUUAUCUCACACCAGUCACAAGUCCCCCGAUAGCUUUCAACAAGCAUGUCUGCAGAAAUGCAACUGUAGAUCAUUUGAAAUUAUACUGAAAAUCAAUCCAUUUAAUCACUUUACCUCCUCAUUUCCUGGGGGGGCUCUGAAGUCUGGUCUAAGUUUGAAAGAGUGAAAGGUUGGGUACACCCUGGACAGAUUGUCAAUGCAAAACAGGGUUAAAAAAGUGCAACUUUUUUGGGGGGAAUAAACACCAUGUAGAGAAGAUUCAAUCUCAGGACCUUCUUGCUGAAAGGCAACAGCCCUAACACACCACCAGCAUGCAGCCUGCACUCUGGAGUUGAAUAAACACUGAACUAAGAACAGUGGAAAGACAGGUUGUUAGUAGCUUUCACUUAUAGCUGCAGAUGAAAAUCCCUUUAGAUUAUGGGCCAAGUUCAAAGACAAGCUCUCAUAGCUUGUGCUUGCGUCACACUGGAUCUGAUCAACCUCCGCCUGUGAUGUGUCACUGAUUGUGUCAAGCCUCAGCCAAGAGGACUUCCCACUGGCCACGACUGGGCGCUCCCACUCAGGGCAAAAAAAAAAAAUGGCUCUCCUCCAGCUGGGCUUGAGGCCACCGAGGCUCCCUGCCACCCAUCGCCGCUGUUUGCGCUCUCAGAGCCGUGCCAAGCGAGCGGCAGCAGCGCAACGCACACAAACACACACGCCCACGCACACCUUUAAGCUUGGCUACAUGGAAGGAAUUAUGCGAUCGUAGAACGCCACCACAUCUAAGACCAAAUCUUGGCUCGAAACAGACAAAGAAAACAAAGCGUGCACUCAUUCGGACAAUUUUGCUGGCACUGCUUCUCUGGAACGGGAUAUAGACUGAAGAAGGAGGUGGAGGGUUUUGUGUGUGGGGGGGGGAAUCAACCACAGAGUUUAAUGUGUCAUUACAAGCAUAAAAACAGACUACUGACGUUGCCAACAGAUGUCGAGCCAGUUUAUUUUUGCCAUUACAACUCCAGUAGGGAAUGAAGCAGCAGGUGCAAAUGGUGCUUUCUUCUUUACUAUCCAUGCUCCUGUGCUGCUGUAUCAUCAUUUCUUCUCAUUUAGAACGCAAACAUGCAUCAAGCUGGGUAUCAAAUCUUAAUGCAUUUACUGCUGACUUUAUUCUGCCCAGAACCGAAAGCGGAAUAUGAACUUUCGGUCAGAUUGUUCAGAUUAAUGCGCAAUUUCAUUUUCUUCGGGGUAAGAAAGCUGGUCUUAUAGUGCCUAAUAAUGUCCACAUUUUCCCCCAACUCCUUACCUGGAAGGGUCCAGUAAUGAUGGAAAGCUGUGCUAACUCCUGAGGCUGUAAGCUGUUCAGCUGGUUGGUGGUUUAAAAGCCGGCUGCAUGCCGCAUGGCUAGUAAAACCCCUCCUUUCCUGUUAAUGAGCCUGGAGACAGGGCUUUCAGAGGCCCCGGUCGGAGCUAGCCCAAAUCAAAGCAUUCGAGGGGAGAGAGGCUCUGGGGCAGGAGGGUUCAUUCGGGGGGAGAGUGGAGCCUGGUGGUGUCUCCACUGGCACAAGACCCCUGAAUGAAGUUUUUUUUUUUUUUAAGGCAAACUAUAAGAGCGAUUUCAUGAAAACAUCUGGAGUCCAUGCACCAGGUAGAUGCUUAUUUGGUGAGUCUGAUGCCAGUUGGUAAUAAAACGGUACCGUCAAGCAGAUUCUAAUGUAACCCGAGAAGGGCCGGUGGCUCUGUGCCUGUCACAAGGUCACGCCACUGGCAGUCCUCCAAAGACAGCAGAGCUCCUUCUUUCCUUGUGGAUCCUCUGACUGACUGGAGACAUCCUGGCAACAGCAACAAAGGUGUACAGUCAACAGACAGUGUCUUUCAACAAAACAUCCCUCACUGCAAAAAGAAAGGGUACUUGCUUUUAGUUUGAAGGUUUUAAUCAAUGGUGGGCACUGCUCACUAAACGCUAGCUGUGUGGAAGCAGAGCUGAUGUGUACACAGUCUUUGCACGCUUCAAAGUAGGAGCGUCAUUACAAAAGUCAACCGUUUUAAGUUUACUUAAGCCACAACUUUAACACAGAUGUCGAAAUUUAUUCGACUGAAAAUUUACGAAACUAGUAACUAGUAAAGUAGUCUAGUAAAUUAGUGCUUUAGAAAUUAGAGAAAACUAAGUGUGCUAAACGUUUUCAAAGUUAGAGUACUCUAAAAUGAAAAAUCAGCUCCACUCUGAGCACAUUAGCAGGAGUGUGCAAACCACUGCAUUUCAUACAUUAGUAAAUACCAGAAAUCAUCUGGUGUUUAUCAGGAUUUAAACGUUUUCUCAACUGAUCCCACACAACAGAAUCCAUGCUACCAUUACUUCAUCCACAAUGAAAAAAACUAAGAGAUGAAAAAACCCAAGUACACCCGUGAUUUAACGGCUUGCACAAUUCUUGACGUUGGCUCUAGAAUACUUCAGUCAACUGGUUCGACUCAAUGGCUUCAAGACAUUCAUGUUCUGUUGCUGCAAAACAAGCCCCAAUCAUCAUUCCUCCACUACUGUACCUGACAGGUGAUAUGAAGUGUUAGAGCUGGUAUGCUGUGGGGUUUUUUUGUUGUUUUUUUUUUUUGUUCAGGCAAAACAUCUCAUCAUCUGAUCAAAGAACAUUGUUCUAGCAGUCUUUAUGCAAAUUCAAACUGCCUGGUUUGUCUUCUGGAGAAAAGAGCAACAUUCCUACACAAGCAAUUCUUGUCCAGCCCUUUUCUAAGUACACUGUUAUGAACUUUGAGAUUUAACAUGCUAAGCAAGGCCUCCAUAGACGGAAACUGAGCUCUUGGGCUGUUGCUUGGUCUAACCUUUUGACACCUACUUCUGAGAAGAUUCAACACCAUCUUAAAUGUCAACCUUCCAACUAUUUGGAAACAACUCCUAUAAGGUGCAGAGCUGAUGUCUUUCCAACUUGGCAUUGUGUUAGCGCCACAGCAAACUUUGAUCAGCAGCACCUGACUCAAGAUGUUCAUAUCUUAACGGGGGAAACUAUAUCCCACAUUCAUGGCAAAAAAAAAAAAAGACUCAGACAACAAAUCCACAAAUCCUUUCUCUGCUACCAGGGCUUGCUGGGGGAAGUAACAACAUGUGGUUUGGCUGCACAGCUCCAGCUUGCAGCGGGAAGAAGAGAGGCGCUAAAUUAAUUUCACAUUUUGUUGUUUGGGAGUCAUAAACAAUGGCAUCCACAGAGCAGGCCACUGAAUGGUUUGCUUGCAGGGUUUGAAAACAUUACAUCAGCAGCUUAUUGCAGCCAGUUGAAUGCCGCUGUCAAGGUGUUUCCACACAAUGUGUUUAAAACAGUGUCACAGCAUUAUGUCGAGGGAGAGUAUGUAGGAAAAAAAUACAUUCAAAUUUGGUUAACAAAGGUAGCCAUUCAUGAGAACGUCUGACAUUGCACAAUGUUCAAAAGUGAAACUGUAAUGAAAGGAGUGCAGAAGGCAUGAAGGUAUGCCUGGUGGCUUUCCAGCCAACAAUUUAAAAGUGUUUGUUUUUACUUUAUUUUUUUUCUGGGUGGUUGCCAAAGACUUUAGGAUGAUGAUCAACCCUUGCCAGGCAGGAUUGUGUUCAUUUCCAUGUACCCUGCAUUUUGCAUAUUGUGUUUUGUUGUUGGCCUGAUAAUGCUCGGAUGAGAAGGGUUCUCUGUCCUAAAUCUCGCUGUUCUGUUGUUGCUGCAGCUUUUUUCCCACGCGGCUCCCGAACUAUAAUCUCUUGAAAUAUUUGCACAGAUGACGGCAGCGCUAGGCUGUUUUGACACAGAGCCGCAUGAGCGAAGCCCAGCAGUCACUUUUUCCAUCGGUUCGGGAACAGGAAUUCCCCUCUUGCCACUUUUCCUUGUAACAACCCCCACACCCCAAUAAGCCUUCCUCCACUUCCUCAGUACGCUAAGAUUUGUCCACUCGGAGACUCAUCGUGGGGGAUUUCACACCCGCCCUGCAGCCAUCCUCCAACAAUCAGAGAGAGUUGCUUUCACUUUAUCGGAGAUGCCAAGAGUUCACCCAUGGAGAUCAGGGGUUAUGGGGGUUAGGGGGGAGAGUGGGCGGGCUGCAGGAUAGCUGAGGUAGUUCCUGUUCUGCCUUGGUUCAGCUCAGGAAGGCGAGCAGAGCCGACAGGAACGCUCUGUUUAUGUUUCAUGUUUCUGGGAGGAUCAUCUCUGAGCUUAAAGGAACAAAUUCAUGGAAAAGCUUCCCCCGUCUGAAUUCCCCCCCAGGGAGACUGGUUCAGCUGCAUAAAAAUAUCCCACUGACCGUCUGCACAAACAUCAAUGUACCGCAUGUCGAUACUAGAACCCCCUGAAACGGCAAACGCUGCUGAACGUCUUCAGGCAAGUCUCUCAGCCAGCUCUGCACAUGUAGGAUGCUCAAGUUUCGGCACAUUCUUCUUUGUAAACGAGCUCUGGCUCAAUGAGACUGGACAGAAAGCAACUGUAAAUUUUAAAUUUUAAUGUUUCUUUGUUUUUUUGUUGUUUUUUUUGUUACUGAUUCUUAAUUGGAUUUUGGUCUAGAUUUUUACCGGACCAUUGUAACUCAAAUCUAAUUUGAUCUGUUGUAGCUCUGGCACUGUGUUUCCAGGACUUACAAAGGUCAAGGGUCAAGAAGAAGGCAGCUCUCAUCUCUGCAGAUCCCACACAUACUGGACACAAAUGACCAGAUUGAUACCAUGCAUGUUUCCACUAAAUCAAUGUUGUCUCCUGCAUAUGUACACAUUUACAACAAAGGAAAAACUCGUUUUGUUUUUCUUGCCUUUUAUACAUUUUUGCAUUUUAAAUGUCUUCAUUGACAGCAGAAGUGAACUUACGUCAAAUUUCUUGUUUGUGUGCAAAAACUUCCGAUAUUUCCGGUCGUUUUCCAGCGGCUUUCACAGCUUCUACCAGGACUGUCCCGUAUUUGACUCCAUCCAUCUACGCAUCGACUCGGCUGAGGAGAAACAUCCCUACAGCAUGAUGCUGCCACCAACGGUUUCCAAGUUUUUCACUGUUUUCCACGUUCCAUCACUUUAAGCAACUCAUAUUCUUUGCUACAUGUCGUGUGGAAAACCUCUUUUUAGGUUUUGUUUUGCCAACAACGGCUUUCUACCUGAGCAGGGGAUCUCUGCAGCUCAUCCAGAGUUACCAAGGACCUGUGGGCUACUUUUAAUUAAUCCUCUUCUUGCCUGUUCUUUCAGUUUAUGUGAACAGCCGUUUCCUAGUAGAUUAACAGUGGCUCUAUUAGAGGUUCCAAGUCUUGGAUAUUAUUUUACGACUUAAUUCUGCAUUAAAUUUCUCUACACCUUCAUCUCCGGUCUGUCUAAUGUGUGCCUCGGUCUACAUGAUUCUGUUUAUUCUCUAAUGUUCUCUAGAAAACCUCUCAGAGCAGCUGAAUAAGAUUAAAUUUCACACGUGGGGACUGUUUAUUUAUUAGGUGACUAAAGCAGGCAAGCUGUACUGGAUUUUAUUUGGGAAUAUUAGAGUAAAGGGUAUUUAACACUUGCUAUUCGUAAUAAAUUUUGAAAACCAAGUUUUGUUCUCUUUCUACUUUACACUAGUAUGUGUUUAUCUAUUACAUAAAAUCAUCCCAUGAAAGUACACUGACAUUAGUGGCUGCAGAGUGAAAAAGUGUGAAAACCUUUUGCCUUCAUUCGUUAGAAACAAACGGGCCUGUGAAAAAAAAACAAAAAAAAACAGACCUGAACUUAAAGGAUCUCUGAGAUUUCAAAUUGUAAUUGCACAGAAUUUGAUGCGCAAUCUGUUUAAAGGUCAUAAAAAUAAUCUCCUCGUCCUCGCCAGACUGUUGCAUCAUGGGAACUGGAAGGAACAUCAAAGGGCCACCACUGGAGCAAACUCCAGUAAUCCCCCUUCUGGCAAGCAUCUACAUAUAUACAUGUGUCCUUGCCAAACUUUUUUUUUUUCCCUCUCUCUCUCUCUCUCUCUCUGGGCUUGAACGUGCAUGUGCUUGUAGAAAACACUAUCUCCUCGCUGACACUGACAGUCGCAGCUCUCGCAGAGGUUGGCAGCGCCUGCAGAAGCACUUCCUGUUCUGUGGCGCAGGGUUAGGUCCAAGCCACUUGAACUUGGCAGGGCUCACCUGGAACAGCCUGCCCGUAGGACUGCCGCAGACUCUUCACCCCAAAACACCCCCACACACACCAAUCAUCAGCCAAGACAGGCAUACAUGCAUGCAGGCCUUCCUGUAAACUCCAGCAGCUGAUGUCAGCCACUCCUCCUUAAAAAAAUACUGGCUGCAACUGACUCUCAGGUAUUUACCCAGGGAGAAGGAAGCGAUUUAUUUAUAUCUGCGCGUUCCGGUUGAGCUGGUUUGGCUCGCUCGUGCUCAGUUUGCGCUUUUUAAUUAAAAAAGACAUCACUGUCGAACAUUCAAUGCCAUGCAGUUUACAGUGUUUUUAGCAAUUCAGGUCAGCGCAUACAGCCCAGGAGCUGAACAAAGGGAUGAUUGUGCGUACAAGGCGCUGUGAAAGGCGAGGCCUACAGGGAGUCGUCUUUAGGAGGGAAAACGCUGUAUGUAUGGCGAGGAGGAAGGGAGGGAGGGGGAGAGUGAGUGAGUUAGUGGCGGGGGGUCGAGGGGUUUAGAGAGGGCGGUCCGAGCACGCUCAGCGAAAAUAUGCCUCAUGCACUCGUUGAACUCAGGGGGGCCUGAGGAGCAGGCUUCUCUCAAGGUUACAGGAGAGGCCUGUGUGAAGAGAGGAGCGGGAGGACGAAGGCAUGCAGCUGCAGCGGCGGCGGCAGCAGCCCACGUGCAACAGGGUUACCACUGGAUGCUGCAAUAAUUAAUAACACGCAGCAGAACGUUUUACAUCUAAUCCAUUAAGCCCGUUUCAGCGGGCUCACAUAACAGGAGCAGCAUGCGAUCACCUUUGACUCCCGGUUUCCUUCCCUCCUCGGAGGCGCUCGGGCCGCAUAUCCGCUGCCGCGCCUCCUAACCCCCCGUCUCCCUCAGCCCUCCGCCACACAAAGGUAGGAAGCCGGCCGCCAGAGCUCGCCGCAUUGAGACCCGAACACUAAAUCACCUCUCGGUUUAUCUGCCGCCAUUUACACCCGUAUCACCAGAGGAAAUGAUAAAGACAACAAGGCCCCAGUAAACACAUCAGACGAGUUGAGGACGUGAGGCUGUUAGCUGAUUGAAUGAUACGCAUCCAGAGGACUCUCCCAGCAACACCGCGUGCGCUUUUUUUUCUACAUUUUCUAAAGUUACAGCCAGAAACCUGAAUGUAUUUUAGCAGCAUUUUUUUUUUUUUUUUUGACAGACCAACAUAAAGUUGUCUGUAGUUGUUAAUCAGAUGAAACAUUGACAAGAUUUCUUUGUAAAUAAAAAUCUGAAACGUG